rnacentral:rRNA from 1 species
CGUGUAGGCGGUCAGGUAAGUGGAAUGUGAAAUGCCCCGGCUCACCCGGGGACCGGCAUCCCAAACUGCCUGGCUUGAGUAUGGGAGAGGAUGGAGGAAUUCCUGGUGUAGCGGUGAAAUGCGUAGAUAUCAGGAGGAACACCGGCGGCGAAGGCGUCCAUCUGGCCCAAUACUGACGCUGAGGCGCGAAAGCUAGGGGAGCAAACG